GGGAUUGCCUCAGUAACGGCGAGUGAAGCGGCAACAGCUCAAAUUUGAAAGCUGGCUCCUUCGGGGCCCGCAUUGUAAUUUGUAGAGGAUGUUUCGGGUGCGGUACCGGUCUAAGUUCUUUGGAACAAGACGUCAUAGAGGGUGAGAAUCCCGUAUGUGACUGGUCUCCUGCGCCCAUGUGAAACUCCUUCGACGAGUCGAGUAGUUUGGGAAUGCUGCUCAAAAUGGGAGGUGUAUUUCUUCUAAAGCUAAAUAUUGGCCAGAGACCGAUAGCGCACAAGUAGAGUGAUCGAAAGAUGAAAAGCACUUUGGAAAGAGAGUUAAACAGUACGUGAAAUUGUUGAAAGGGAAGCGCUUGCAAUCAGACUUGCGCGGCGUCGAUCAACCUGGGUUCUCCCUGGUGUACUCGGCGCCGCUCAGGCCAGCAUCAGUUUUGGCGGUGGGAUAAAGGCUUGGGGAACGUGAGUUGCUUCGGUGACUGUUAUAGCCCCAGGUGCAAUGCCGCCUGCCGAGACUGAGGACCGCGCUUCGGCUAGGAUGCUGGCGUAAUGGUUGUAAGCGACCCGU
rnacentral:sRNA from 1 species